GCCUAUUUUUAAAUAGAGACGAAGUUUCACCAGUUGACCAGAGAUUGGGGUGGUUCUUACUGUGUCCGGAAUUCGUGGGCUCUUCGUCUGACUUGAAGAAUGAAGCCACGGACCCUCACGGUGAAUAUCACAGUUCUUAAAGGCGGCGUGGCCGGAGUUUGCUCCUUUUGAUGUUGUGUUCGGAGUUUCAUCCUUCUGGUGGGUUCGUGAUCUCGCUAGCUCAAGGAGGGAACCUGGAGAUCCUCGCGAGGAGUGUUACAAGUCUUAAGGAAGCGCGUCUGGAGGCGUUCAUUCUUUCUGGAGUGUUCGCAGUCUCGGUGGCUUACAGGAGUGAAGCUGCAGACCUUUGCUGUGAAAGCAACCUAAACCCAAAAAGCAACACCACCACCACAAAAACAAAAACAAAACAGAACAAACACACCCACCCCCACCCCCACAAAAAAACUCCAACACAACGGAAUAAAACCCCA
rnacentral:lncRNA from 10 species